AGGCUGGCGGAUCGCUUGAGUUCAGGGGUUCUGGGCUGCAGUGGACUAUGUUGAUCAGGUGUCCACACUAAGUUCGGUAUCGAUAUGGUGUUCCUGGGGGAGCUCGGGACCACCAGGUCGUCUAAGGAGGGGUGAACCGGCCCAGGUCGGAGACGGAGCAGGUAGGUCAAAGCCCCCGUGUCGAUCAGUAGUGGGAUCGCACCUGUGAAUAGACACUGCAGUGCAGCCUGAGCGAUACAGCGAGACCCAGACUUUUGUAUUUGCUGGGACAAAAAAAAAGUGCCCAAGACAUGUCAUCCUUUACUCACGCUUUGUCAUUUCAAACCUGUUCUUUCUAGCUUUUGUGGAACAUAAAAGAAGAUAUUUUGAAUAAUUUUUGUAACCAAACAGUUUCAAUCACCUUAGACUUAAAAUAAAUUAAAAUAAAAAAAAUACUGAAACAUUUCUCAAAUUAUC
rnacentral:lncRNA from 1 species